GUGAGAGCGUGCAUUUCAAGAUGGCUCCUCACAGUGCAAGCAACGUUUCGAUCAUGAGCGCAGCGGCCAAAGGCAAUCCUCGCAUGCGCUUUUCGUCUGCUGGCGACAUCGAGCUGCUGCGCGAGCAACCGGCAAAACAUUCACGGCACGCAACGCCCGCUUACGUGCGGAACUGAUGCUUUGCCGCUACUCAUCGAACGACCGGAAAAACCUCCGCAAAUCCGGCACAGAGGAAGAGUACAGUGAGAAGGAGCAGCUUCUGCACGAGAUCAUUGAAAAAAAUGAAACAUGAAGGCUUAACGACUAGGGCACCGUGGCGUUCAAAUAACGGUGCAGUACCACAGCCGGCUCGUGGGCGCCUCACGUCGACGCAAGAAGCGGCACGUCGCUCAGCAGCGACCGCGAGAGACGCUUCCGCCGAAGCUUACACGUUGGAGGACGAUUGGGACAACACGGGUGUGAGCGAGUCGCCAUCACAGUUGUUCAACAACAUGAUAAACGGUGACGACAACGCCUCGGCUAAACAACAGCAGUGCUCGCAAUUCCCAAGCACAGAGAGUACAGCGCCUGCUGCAUCGGCAAUCUCGCUACGUGACGAUCAGGGGCCAUCAGCUGGACCAAGUGGCAGCAUUUCUGACUGUGCUUCGCCCAGAACGACAGCACGAAG
rnacentral:lncRNA from 1 species